UGUAUAGAAAUGUGCUUUUUAAAACGAUAACGGAAUUGUAUUAUAUAUAAUACAAAAAAUAUAGAAGUGAAUAUUGAUAUGGUCGCUUUUGAGCAUAAAAAAAGCAGUAUCACUACUGCCAAUUUUAUGGUGCGCCCUAGUGGACUCGAACCACCGACCCCCACCA
rnacentral:antisense_RNA from 1 species